UCGAGGAUCUUCGGCAAUGGGCGCAAGCCUGACCGAGCGACGCCGCGUGCGCGACGAAGGCCUUCGGGUUGUAAAGCGCUGUCGCGGGGGCGGAAGGGGAAACCUUGACUGCCCCCGGGAGGAAGCACGGGCUAAGUUCGUGCCAGCAGCCGCGGUAAGACGAACCGUGCGAACGUUGUUCGGAAUCACUGGGCUUAAAGGGCGCGUAGGCGGGCCAGCAGGUCCGGGGUGAAAGCCCCCGGCUCAACCGGGGAAUUGCCUGGGAUACCGCUGGCCUGGAGGGGGGUAGGGGCGCCUGGAACACCGGGUGGAGCGGUGAAAUGCGUUGAUAUCCGGUGGAACUCCGGUGGCGAAAGCGAGGCGCUGGGCCCCAUCUGACGCUGAGGCGCGAAAGCCAGGGGAGCGAACGG
rnacentral:rRNA from 1 species